GGUAAGACUAGCCUAGUGGACAUGGCAUCUGCCCGGUAAGCGGAACACUGUGGGUUCGAUUCCCAUCCCUGGACACUUUUAUUU
rnacentral:tRNA from 1 species